rnacentral:lncRNA from 1 species
AGAGAUUCUUCUUUCACCCUUAAGACUCCGAAUACGUACUUGUUUGAUUUUGAGGAUCAACAGUUGGCGCGCCAGGUAGGGGAGAAGCUCGAAGAUUUCUCUCAAAACUACGAACCGACGAAAUAGCAAAGAUGACAGACGCAUUCCACAACGCACUCGGCGCAAGUGCCUCCAGCUCGGGAGGAGAAGCAUGCACGCCCGCA